rnacentral:rRNA from 1 species
UACGUAGGGGGCAAGCGUUGUCCGGAAUCAUUGGGCGUAAAGCGCGUGUAGGCGGCUCGAUAAGUCUGCUGUGAAAGUCCAGGGCUCAACCCUGGGAUGCCGGUGGAUACUGUCGAGCUCGAGUCCGGAAGAGGCGAGUGGAAUUCCUGGUGUAGCGGUGAAAUGCGCAGAUAUCGGGAGGAACACCAAUGGCGAAGGCAGCUUGCUGGGACGGUACUGACGCUGAGACGCGAAAGCGUGGGGAGCAAACAGG